rnacentral:rRNA from 1 species
AUUGAACGCUGGCGGCAGGCUUAACACAUGCAAGUCGAGCGGGGUGAUGGUGCUUGCACUAUCACUUAGCGGCGGACGGGUGAGUAAUGCUUAGGAAUCUGCCUAUUAGUGGGGGACAACAUCUCGAAAGGGAUGCUAAUACCGCAUGCGUCCUACGGGAGAAAGCAGGGGAUCACUUGUGAUCUUGCGCUAAUAGAUGAGCCUAAGUCGGAUUAGCUAGUUGGUGGGGUAAAGGCCUACCAAGGCGACGAUCUGUAGCGGGUCUGAGAGGAUGAGCCGCCACACUGGAACUGAGACACGGCCCAGACUCCUACGGGAGGCAGCAGUGGGGAAUAUUGGACAAUGGGGGGAACCCUGAUCCAGCCAUGCCGCGUGUGUGAAGAAGGCCUUAUGGUUGUAAAGCACUUUAAGCGAGGAGGAGGCUCUUUUGGUUAAUACCCAAGAUGAGUGGACGUUACUCGCAGAAUAAGCACCGGCUAACUCCGUGCCAGCCGCCGCCGUAA